CUAUAAAUUAAUAACCUCUAU
rnacentral:snRNA from 1 species